rnacentral:rRNA from 1 species
UCUCCGUUGGUGAACCAGCGGAGGGAUCAUUACCGAGUUAUACAACUCCCAAACCCACUGUGAACCUUACCUCAGUUGCCUCGGCGGGAACGCCCCGGCCGCCUGCCCCCGCGCCGGCGCCGGACCCAGGCGCCCGCCGCAGGGACCCCAAACUCUCUUGCAUUACGCCCAGCGGGCGGAAUUUCUUCUCUGAGUUGCACAAGCAAAAACAAAUGAAUCAAAACUUUCAACAACGGAUCUCUUGGUUCUGGCAUCGAUGAAGAACGCAGCGAAAUGCGAUAAGUAAUGUGAAUUGCAGAAUUCAGUGAAUCAUCGAAUCUUUGAACGCACAUUGCGCCCGCCAGCAUUCUGGCGGGCAUGCCUGUUCGAGCGUCAUUUCAACCCUCGAGCCCCCCCGGGGGCCUCGGUGUUGGGGGACGGCACACCAGCCGCCCCCGAAAUGCAGUGGCGACCCCGCCGCAGCCUCCCCUGCGUAGUAGCACACACCUCGCACCGGAGCGCGGAGGCGGUCACGCCGUAAAACGCCCAACUUUCUUAGAGUGACCUCGGAUCAGGUAGGAAUACCCGCUGAACUUAA